UACGGGGGGGGCAAGCGUUGUUCGGAAUUACUGGGCGUAAAGGGCGCGUAGGUGGCCAACUAAGUCAGACGUGAAAUCCCUCGGCUUAACCGGGGAACUGCGUCUGAUACUGGAUGGCUUGAAUCCGGGAGAGGGAUGCGGAAUUCCAGGUGUAGCGGUGAAAUGCGUAGAUAUCUGGAGGAACACCGGUGGCGAAGGCGGCAUCCUGGACCGGCAUUGACGCUGAGGAGCGAAAGCCAGGGGAGCAAACGGG
rnacentral:rRNA from 1 species